rnacentral:rRNA from 1 species
GCCGCGGUAUUUUGACCGUGCGAAGGUAGCAUAAUCAUUAGUCUUUUAAUUGAAGGCUUGUAUGAAGGGUUGGACGAGAAAUAAGCUGUCUUUAUUGGAAAAAUAGAAUUUAACUUUUAAGUGAGAGGGCUUAAAUGUUCUAAAGGGACGAUAAGACCCUAUAAAGUUUGACAUUUUAUUCAUUAGAAAAUAAAAUAAUUAAUUAAUUUUUAUUAGUGGGGGUAAUGUUUUGUUGGGGCGAUUAGAAUAUAAAAAAUUUAACUGUUUUAUAUUAAUACAAAGUUGUUUGAGUGUUUUGAUCCUUAAUAAAGGUAUUAGAGUAAAUUACUUUAGGGAUAACAGCGUAAUUUUUUUUGAGAGUUCUUAUCGACAAAAAAGUUUGCGACCUCGAUGUUGAAUUAAAGAAUUCUUUAUAGCGCAGAAGUUAUAAAAGAAGGUCUGUUCGACCUUUAAAUCUUUACAU